AUGCACCACGCCUACGCUCCGGUUCCGGGCGCGCCUUCCACGCCCACCGCACGACUGCUCGCAACGUUCUGUUGGUC
rnacentral:sRNA from 1 species